CAAUUAUGUAAAUAGUGUAACUAUAAAAACAUGUUUAAAAAAAAAAAAAAAAAAAUGACUUAUUUUACUUUUUUAUGUUUUAAAAAAGUCUCCAAGUUGUGUUAUAAAUAGUUUUGAAUAGUUGAAUAAAUAUUUCUUGAUUAAAAGCAAAAUUUAAUAAAAAUUGUAUAAAAAACAUUUUACAAUUAUUUAUCACUAUUUGCAUAACACCAAUGGGAUGUACAUUUUUGAAUAUAAUACAUUAACAUGUAAAUAAAUAUUUUUUAAGACUGACUCUUUGAAAAAACAUUUUGGAAAAACAAAUCUAUCAUAUGUUAAAGUCAAAUUUACUAAUAUUCAAUUAUAGUUUGAAACAGAAAGCAUAUUAUUAUUUAGUAUUUAUGUUUACACUAUUAAUAAUAGUUUACAGUUUGUAUCCCUUAAAAUAAGUACUAUUAUAAAGUAUAGUUCCACUUUUUUUUCUGUAUAUGCAUAAGAUAAUUUACAUAAUUUACAUAAUUUUGAUGUUGUGUGUAUAUUGUAGUUAUUUUAGGGCUUUUUGAAAUUAUUAUAUAUUAUAACUAUUGUGAUUUGUAUUUAAAUAAAUUUGCCCCUAUUAUAUUUAUUAGGUUACAAAAAUUUCAAUUUUUCAAAUAGAAUAAAUUGAUGAGCCAAGUUAAAAAUAAUUUAUGUG